CACGGGGGGUGCAAGCGUUGUUCGGAAUCAUUGGGCGUAAAGAGCGUGUAGGCGGCCAGGCAAGUCAGAUGUGAAAGCCCUGGGCUUAACCCAGGAAGUGCAUUUGAAACUGCUUGGCUAGAGUAAGGGAGAGGAAAGUGGAAUUCCUGGUGUAGAGGUGAAAUUCGUAGAUAUCAGGAGGAACACCGGUGGCGAAGGCGACUUUCUGGCCCUAUACUGACGCUCAGGCGCGAAAGCGUGGGGAGCAAACAGGAUUAGAUACC
rnacentral:rRNA from 1 species